GACGAACGCUGGCGGCGUGCUUAACACAUGCAAGUCGAACGGUAAGGCCCUUCGGGGUACACGAGUGGCGAACGGGUGAGUAACACGUGGGUGAUCUGCCCUGCACUUCGGGAUAAGCCUGGGAAACUGGGUCUAAUGCCGGAUAGGACCCUGGGAUGCAUGUCCUGGGGUGGAAAGCUUUUGCGGUGUGGGAUGGGCCCGCGGCCUAUCAGCUUGUUGGUGGGGUGAUGGCCUACCAAGGCGACGACGGGUAGCCGGCCUGAGAGGGUGACCGGCCACACUGGGACUGAGAUAUGGCCCAGACUCCUACGGGAGGCAGCAGUGGGGAAUAUUGCACAAUGGGCGCAAGCCUGAUGCAGCGACGCCGCGUGAGGGAUGACGGCCUUCGGGUUGUAAACCUCUUUCAGCACCGACGAAGCGCAAGUGACGGUAGGUGCAGAAGAAGGACCGGCCAACUACGUGCCAGCCGCCGCGGUAAAAC
rnacentral:rRNA from 1 species